rnacentral:rRNA from 1 species
AUUGAACGCUGGCGGCAUGCCUUACACAUGCAAGUCGAGCGGCAGCGCGGGGGCAACCCUGGCGGCGAGCGGCGAACGGGUGAGUAAUGCAUCGGAACGUGUCCUCUUGUGGGGGAUAACCAGUCGAAAGACUGGCUAAUACCGCAUGAGCUCGCAAGAGGAAAGCAGGGGACCCGCAAGGGCCUUGCGCGAGAGGAGCGGCCGAUGCCGGAUUAGCUAGUUGGUGGGGUAACGGCCCACCAAGGCGACGAUCCGUAGCUGGUCUGAGAGGACGACCAGCCACACUGGGACUGAGACACGGCACAGACUCCUACGGGAGGCAGCAGUGGGGAAUUUUGGACAAUGGGCGCAAGCCUGAUCCAGCCAUGCCGCGUGUGUGAAGAAGGCCUUCGGGUUGUAAAGCACUUUCGGACGGAACGAAAUCGCGCGGGCGAAUAUCCCGCGUGGAUGACGGUACCGUAAGAAGAAGCACCGGCUAACUACGUGCCAGCCGCCGCGGUAAUAC